ensembl:snRNA U6 U6 spliceosomal RNA
GUGCUCCCUUUGGUAGCACAUAUACUAAAAUUGGAAUGAUGCAGAGAAAAUUAGCAUGGCCUCUGAGCAAGAAUGACACACAAAUUCAUGAAGCAUUCCAUAUAUAA